GGACUCUUGGUAACGGAUAUCUCGGCUCUUGCAUCGAUGAAGAACGUAGCGAAAUGCGAUACUUGGUGUGAUUUGUAGAAUCCUAUGAACCAUCGAGUCUUUGAAUGCAAGUUGCGCUCAAGGCCUUCUGGCCGAGGGCGCGCCUGCCUGGGCGUCACACACCGCGUUGCCUGCACCCAACCCAGGGUGAGGGCGAAGAUUGGCCGACAAUGCUCCUCGGGGCGCGGCGGGCUGAAAGUUGUAUCUCGAUUGCCCCUGGCGGGGCAUCGGCACGAUGUUGGGUGGUCACCAGGGCUCCAUGAGCCGAUGCGAUCGGACGCUGUGCACGCCGCCUCCCAGGGCACCAAGGCACCCCAGAUUGCGACGCGACCCUAGGUCAGGCGGGGGCACCCGCUGAGUUUAAGCAUAUAAAUAAGCAAAGGAAA
rnacentral:rRNA from 1 species